rnacentral:tRNA from 1 species
GGGCCCGUAGCUCAGCUUGGUAGAGCGAUGGACUCUUAAUCCAUGUGUCAGGAGUUCAAAUCUCCUCGGGCCCG